rnacentral:rRNA from 1 species
UAAACGACUCUCGGCAACGGAUAUCUCGGCUCUCGCAUCGAUGAAGAACGUAGCGAAAUGCGAUACUUGGUGUGAAUUGCAGAAUCCCGUGAACCAUCGAGUCUUUGAGCGCAAGUUGCGCCCGAAGCCUUUAGGCCGAGGGCACGUCUGCCUGGGCGUCACAC